rnacentral:lncRNA from 1 species
AACUUUAAUCAUUGAUUUCUUCACGGCUUCAAGAUGAACUUGAUGAAUCUUCAUGAAUGACUUCAUAUCGAGCGGUUAGGCUUUUCUUCAAGAUUUGACUCUGAACGCACAUUGGGUGAAGAGGCUUGAUGUACUGAUUCUUGAAAGAUAGCGCUUUCAGCUUGAGAAUCUUUAGAGAGAACAACGGAGAGAAAUAAUCUUCUGGAUCACUUCAGCAGGUUCAUAGAUAGCAGCAAAUUGAUUGAGGAGGCUUCAAUGCAAUCUGUCACAUAAUCUUCAAGUACAGCUUCACCAUGCUUCUGGGGUUGACAGAUUGAAUGUCGAAAGAAUAAUCUUCAUUUCUUGUUCCUUCGAAUGAGAAUUCUUCGAUGCUCACAGAUGAAACCUUGGCUCAGAAUUCAAUACAGUCUCCACGAGUCUCAUCUAUGCUUGAAAUCACUUUUCAAGACAAAACAAAACUAAAAGAAAAAUUAGCACACAAAAAAAUAUUGUAGGAUUUUUGAUAUUUUCUGGAAAAAUAAAAACAGAAACAAAAAUAUUUUUGGAUUUUCUGAACAAGAAAUAACACUAUUUUUGGAUUUUUAAUUUUCUGAUUUUUGGUUGAUUUUUGAAUUAUUUUUAAUUCUCCUCCUAAAAUUUGUGCAUAAAGGAAAACUAUGAACAAAUUUAACAAAAAUAAAAUGAUAUCUAACUUUAAGAAUGAUUUGGGAUCAAAGUUUUUAGACAGCCUUUAUCCGCUUGUCGGUACCUUCCAUCUUCACGUCUUUGUCUGGUCGAUCGCCGGUAUUGUUGUCCACUUAAACACGAAAAAUUGUGACAAAAUUAGGACAUACUAUAAGUGACAAGACAAUGUGAUCCUAAGUUCCUAGAUAUUAUAUCUGAUCCUAAGUUUCUAGAUACUAUAUCUUAAGGACCAUUCAGCUGACGACGACCAGGGAUAUUGUUGUCCACCUAAAUUGAGCAGCGAGAUCUAUAGACAAUCUUUGAGUGUUCAAUUUUAAUUGUACUGGAACAUGUUUCCCGCUUCCAGAUAUGCCCCAGCCAUCAAGAACUUCCAGAGUACUCCUUACACCGGGUGAGCAGACAACCAUUCAGAGAGAGGAUAGAUUCAGAGUUCUAUUACUUAUUACUUCAGAGGGGUUGAGAAGUAGAAGGUUGCAUAUGUUGUGUACCAGGUCGGAUUAGAAGUCACGCAAAGGAGAUGACAUAUGGCUAACAGAUAAGAAGUUUUUCACAUAUAUAACAUGCAGAGAAAUAGAAUUGCAUAUGUUGUGUACCAAGUCGGAUUGGAAUUCACGCAAAGGAGACAACAUAUGACUAACAGACGGAAAGAAAGAAAAUGAUAUUCUACAGACCUAAUUUAUCGGAAUUUAUCAGUCGCCCCAUCCAACCGGAAUUAAAGACAAAAUCUGCACAUCGAGAAAAAGUUAAACCACGGUUCCAGAUAUGGGUUCAUUUAAUGUGACGAGUAGAUUCUCAUAUAUAUCUCCCUGCUCAACCUAUCCAAGCGUCGUAUUGUCAGGCUGAACGGAUCUAACUAGGUCAAGAUUUGUCAAGUCUAUAGAUUCCUUAAGUUCAUCUACACCUAGUCAAGUCCGUUAAAUUCUUCGUGCCUACCUACGCAUCAAACCAGAGAAUAGACCCUUCAACUUUGGGUACGUUACGCAGACUCAGGUUGCCCGUUAUCACUCACUUCCCAAAACAUCUCCCUCAAGCAUAAUAAAUUUUUAUUUUCUGAUUUUCUAAUUUUUAUGGAUUUUCUAAUUUUCUAAUGUUUUUGGAUCUUCUAAUUUUUUAAUGUUUUUGGAUUUUCUAAUUUUUUUUUUAUAUUUGUUAAAAUUUUCUAUUUUUUUUAUUUCUCCCCCUAAAUUUGUGCAUAGGAGAGAAACGAAACUAAAUGCCCAAAUUUAAACUAUCCUAAAACAAAAAUUUGUCUUUAAAGCGAAACAACUUAAGAAAAACUCAGGAGUAUAGAGAAGAAAACUCAAACUGUAAGUCACCGAUUGAAUUUUCAUCCGGAAGGUCUGAGAACAGCACGCGUAAUCUCAGAACAGAUCCGAAAAUUCUUCAUGCCAUUAAGCGCAAACCUCGUGAGUGAUCACUUCCGUUCUUCCCUUCCCGCAAAGGACACAUACUCUCAAACAAAAUUCCGAAUGUUGUACAGUUGAGAGAUGCCUCCUAUCAAGUGUCUGGAACAACCACUAUAAACAAACCGAAGUCUGAUGAUAUGCCUCCAUAGCUGUUCCGACACAGAGCAGGAUCAGUUGGUCUUUGGAAUCCAGUCCAUUUUGAAACUGGGUCGACCUUUGUCAUCAUUGCAUGGUACUCUCUCCCAUGACAUGUCCUGCUUAUCACAAACAGAAGAUGAAGAAAUAUUAGAGUCAUUAGUUGAUUUGGGAGAGUGAGCCUUUGGAACCCAUUUGUAGUUGGAUUUAACCCAUUUCUUUUUCGAUCUGAUGGGUGGCUCAGUACUUGCUUUGGGACUUGAUGUCGGCCAUUGAGAUGACUUUGAUUUUGGCUUCAUGGAAGCAUCUCUUGGAUUUGGCUUCUUGGCCGACAUUCCCUUCCUAACCUUGGGAGUUGAUUUCUUGGCCUUGUGGGUUUGAUUCUUGGCCUUCUGCGCGUUCUAGUCAUCAAGGUCUGAACGUGACCUUGAGGGGUUUCUUUUGAAGUAUCUCCCUCUUGGCGUGUUCUGCCACCCUUGUGCAUAGUAGGGAACGUAUGCUCGAUUAGGACAAUUUCUGACAAUGUGUCCAAGUGUUCCAUAGUGAAAGCAAGUCUUUUUCUUCACUGUGGAGUUGUUUCUUCCUGCCCCUGGUGGCGUGUCUUUUCCUUGUCUCUUGCUUUUCCCACACGCACACUUGCAACAAGAACUCCAUUGCGUUGGAAUUGGUGGCCUGUAUUUCUCAACGGCAGGUUGAUCAGAAGCAGUUGAGUUCGAAGCAACAGAUUGAGAGUUCAAGGAGAUGUUUGUUUGUUCAGUAGUAUUCUCCUUGUUCUCAUCCUCUACUACUUUACCUGCACAUAAAGUAGAAGCAUUAGUAUCUUCAACUUGAAUACAUCCUGACACAAAUCCAGCUGGUUUGCCAUAUCGAAGAUGUGCCUCCCUGUCAAUUUCGUCCUGUGUCAUAGGGAUGGAUGUGUAGUUAUGAUUGAAAGGUGGAGGAACACUAUCAUACCCUAGACCCUUGUUUUGAUUUUCUUUGAAUUUUUAUUGGGUUUCAUAUAAGGACUCGACUGUCUUACUUGACGCAGUGUAAUUUUUGAAACUAACAUCUGUUUUUCCACACUUUAUUUUCAAAGCGUCAAGUUCUUCAGUUACAGCAUCAAGUUUUUCUUAAUGUGAUCAUAAUUUUCACACUUGUUGCUGUAAUCUUCAUGUAAUUUCUGGAAAUCCUUGAUUUUUGUUUCUAAUUGAGCUUUUAACGGUUUCGGUCCUUUCCUAAGAGUAUAGCCUUCGUAUUUGAGGUCCUCAUUUUCUCUUUUUAAUAAAUCAAUUUGUUCGCAAAGAAAUUUAAUCGUAGCUUUACAAGAUGGAGUACAUGAAACUUCAUUUACCAGAAUUGAUAUGGAACUCAUUUUCUUUUUUUCUUUUUUUUUUUUAAUUUUUUUUAUAUUUUUAAUUGCCCUUUGACUUAAAAAACGAGAAAGUCAACCUUAAAAGUCAAAUUUAAAAAGUCAAACUCAAAAGUCAAACCGAAAAGCCAAAUUUGAAAAAUUAAAAGUCAAACUAGAAAGUCAAAAGGUUAAAGUCAAAGGUCAAAUUUUAAAAGUCAAAAUCAAAUUUUUAAGGUCAAAGAUAAAAAUAAAAUCAAAAAUUAAAAACAAAAAAAAUUUGGGUUGAAAAUAGAAUUUAGAAAUAAAAAAGAUUGAUUUUUAGGGUUAGAAGUGCCAAUUUUCGAAAAUAAUAACCGAGAAGGAGAAGUUAUGUUUUAAAUUUCGGAGAAGUGACACAAGGAGUAUUCUAGAUGAGAUGGUAAGGCGCUGGGGCAAUGACCUUGAGGUCCAAUGUUUGAUCCAUGGCACGUCAACUUCGCUUCCUUUUUUUUAUGAAAGGGCUGAUGUGCGAGGUUGCUGCUUGCGAGGCCGAUGAUCCGAGGCGAGGCGAGGCUGCUGCGAUGCGAGGUUGCGAUGCGAGGACGAGGACCGAACACCAGGGCCGAACACCGAGCCGUAUACUCCGAGCCGCACACACCGAGCCGUAUACUCCGAGCCGCACACCUUCAAGUGGCCGCACUCCUUCAACAGAUUCGCAAAAAAACGACGUUUUUCACCCCUUUUUGCUCCAAAACUCGAUCAACAACUCGUUUUUAUGAAAAAUGCAAAGAAGAACCCCCCCUUAAUUUUGCGAGAUCUAUCCAAAAACGCUAUUCUCUUUUCAAAAUAAGAUCAAAUAAGCUCCAGAUCUGACAAAAUUGACUGAUACAACCUUGUUUUGAUACCAAUUGUAAGUCCCAAAAACUGCUUGUGUAUCAACUAGAUCCAAUUGAUGGUGCGGAAUCCCAAUCAAUUGGAUGAUGUCAGAUCAAUAUAGAAGAGAAUGAGAAGAAGAAGAAGAAGAUGAAUCUAAUGAUGUAUUGAUGAUAUGAAUUAUGCUCCUUACAAUAGAUUCUCUCACACACACACUUCUUCUCUCUAACUUUCUCUCUCUUCUCUAGGCUUCUUCUCCUCUCUUCUCCCGUACACUCACACAUGCACUCCUCAAUUUAUAUGGACCUCCAGCCAUACACAUGUGUACAGCCGCACACCCUGUGUACGACCGUACACACAAACCACAAACACAUACAACAUUACAUAAAAAUAUAUUUUCCUAGAAAAGCAAAGUAUAAACCAUAUUUUUGACCCAACAAUCUCCCCCUUUGUUUAUAACUUUCUUUUCUAAUUGACCCAACAAGCUCCCCCUAAAAAGUAGCUGGCUUUUUCUUGUUAAUCUUCAUUGGGAGCUUGGCUUCAGCAUUAACCUUUGAUUUCUUCACAGCUUCAAGAUGAACUUGAUGAAUCUUCAUGAAUGACUUCAUCUCAAGCGGUUGGGCCUUUCUUCAAGAUUUGACUCUGAACGCACAUUGGGUGAGGAGGCUUGAUGUACAGAUUCUUGAAAGAUAGCGCUUCAGCUUGAGAAUCUACAGAGAGAACAAAUCUUCUGGAUCACUUCAGUAGGUACAAAGAUAGCAGCAGAUUGAUUGAGGAGGCUUCAAUGAAAUCUAUGACAUAAUCAUCAAGUACAACUUCACCAUGCUUCUGGGGUUGACAGACUGAAUGUCGAAAGAAUAAUCUUCAUUUUUUGCUCCUUCGAAUGUGAAUUCUUCGAUGCUCACGGACGAGGCUUUGGCUCAGAAAUCUUCAACACAAACUCCAUCAGUCUUAUCUAUACCUGAAAUCACUUUUCAAGACAAAACAAAACUAAAAGAAAACUUAGCACACAAAUGAAAAUAGAAACAAAAAAUAUUUUUGGAUUUUUGAUUUUUCUGAACAAGAAAUAAAACAGAAAUAACACUAUUUUUGGAUUUUUAAAUUUUUCUGAUUUUUCUUUGAUUUUUUUUUUUUUUUUGAAUUUUUUUGAUUUUUUUUUUAAUUUUUAAUUCUCCCCUAAUAUUUAAAUUAGAAGAAACUAUGACAAAUUUAACAAAAAUAAAAAUGAUAUCUAACUUUAAGAGAGAUUUGGGAUCAAAGUUUUUAGACAGCCUUUAUCCACUUAUCGGUACCUUUCAUAUUCACAUCUUUGUCUGGUCGAUCGUCGGUAUUGUU